rnacentral:rRNA from 1 species
UACGGAGGGAGCUAGCGUUGUUCGGAAUUACUGGGCGUAAAGCGCACGUAGGCGGCUUUUUAAGUCAGGGGUGAAUCCCGGGGCUCAACCCCGGAACUGCCCUUGAAACUGGAGAGCUAGAAUCUUGGAGAGGCGAGUGGAAUUCCGAGUGUAGAGGUGAAAUUCGUAGAUAUUCGGAAGAACACCAGUGGCGAAGGCGACUCGCUGGACAAGUAUUGACGCUGAGGUGCGAAAGCGUGGGGAGCAAACAGG